GGAUUAGAUACCCUGGUAGUCCACGCCGUAAACGAUGUCUACUUGGAGGUUGUUCCCUUGAGGAGUGGCUUUCGGAGCUAACGCGUUAAGUAGACCGCCUGGGGAGUACGGUCGCAAGAUUAAAACUCAAAUGAAUUGACGGGGGCCCGCACAAGCGGUGGAGCAUGUGGUUUAAUUCGAAGCAACGCGAAGAACCUUACCUACUCUUGACAUCCUGCGAACUUGGUAGAGAUGCUUUGGUGCCUUCGGGAGCUCUGAGACAGGUGCUGCAUGGCUGUCGUCAGCUCGUGUCG
rnacentral:rRNA from 1 species